AAUUUGCAUAUAUGCAACUUUUAACGAGUACCUUUAAUGGGCGAUAUGCUGUUAGGAAGGCGUCCAUCAUCACCAUCCCACUUGCCUAAAAUCUGAUGUUGCGUCUUGGAUUUUCUUCUUUAAAGAUCUGAAACUGCUACUGCUUUUGUCAGACCAACGAAACGAAGCACUCCUUUUAAUGAGAUCUGCCAUAAGUGGCGACUUCAUAGAGGAAUCCUCCACUGCAGCCCCACUGUACACUGACGAUGGUGGGAGGUGGUAAUAGCGCUUCAAGAAUUUUGAAGCUUCUCUCUCCUUCUUGUGACAUAAAACGCGUAUCAAGGUGUGUGCAUCUCCCAGAUGUCUGUGGCCAUAUUUAUGUGCUUCAAGUCCUGAACUGUGUUCACUAGAAGUCAUCAACAAUUGGAUCACAGAUUCAGCCCGGAGGGAAAAUAA
rnacentral:misc_RNA from 1 species